AUGAAGAUUUUAGCAUGGAAUUGUAACGGACUGGAGAACGCCCCGGCUGUGCGAGCUCUGUUGGAUGUCCAGCAAGUAUGUAACCCCGAUGUGAUGUUCUUGUCGGAGACACACUUGGAGAGCUAUCCGGCUGAAUGUUUGAGGCGAAGGUUGAAGAUGGAUCAGAAGUUGGUUUGUGUUAGUGAUGGGAGGAAAGGUGGAUUGAUUUUGUUC
rnacentral:rRNA from 1 species